rnacentral:rRNA from 1 species
UACGUAGGGGGCAAGCGUUGUCCGGAUUUAUUGGGCGUAAAGCGCUCGCAGGUGGUUCGUCGCGUCGUGCGUGAAAGCCCCCGGCUCAACUGGGGAGGGUCACGCGAUACUGAUCGACUCGAAGGCAGGAGAGGGAAGUGGAAUUCCCGGUGUAGUGGUGAAAUGCGUAGAUAUCGGGAGGAACACCAGUGGCGAAGGCGACUUCCUGGCCUGUUCUUGACGCUGAGGCGCGAAAGCUAGGGGAGCAAACGGG